rnacentral:rRNA from 1 species
GGAGGCAGCAGUUGGGAAUAUUGCACAAUGGGGGAAACCUUGAUGCAGCGACGCCGCGUGAAUGAAGAAGUAUUUCGGUAUGUAAAACUCUAUCAGCAGGGAAGAAAUGACGUACCU